GAUCUGCAGGUUCCCGGUCUCCGGUGGGCGGGGCCUGUACAGGCCGUGCUGAGGGUUUGGUCGCUUGGUGACGCCCGUCUGUGCGCAUGCGCAUUGUGCUCCACUGACAGCGGAACUGAGGGGAGGCAGCAGCUAUGGCAGACGUGGAGGAGACAUUGAAGAGGAUCCAGAGCCAGAAGGGCGUCCAGGGGAUCAUUAUCGUAAACUCAGAAGGAAUUCCCAUAAAGAGCACAAUGGACAACGCGACCACGGCCCAGUACGCCGGCCUGAUGCAUCAGCUGGUGAUGAAGGCCCGAAGCUCAGUGCGGGACAUAGACCCCCAGAACGAUCUGACCUUCCUCAGGGUCCGAUCCAAGAAGAACGAGAUUAUGAUCGCUCCAGAUAAAGAUUACAUAUUAGUCGUCAUCCAGCAGCCCUCGGAGUGACCGCCCAUCUAGGUUCCCGCCUUCCUCAUUCCCAUGUUCUGGAUUCCUCCAUGUUGUUUUCGGAUUCGGCCCUUCCGGAUGUGCAGCCAGAGAUGCAAAAUGAAGACUUCGACCUUACAGCUCUUCUCCAUCACCGACGCGUUUUCUAUUACCCGCUCUCCUGGAUAAUGCUGCAGCGGGGGACCAUAUACACUGAGCCCUGUGCUGUGAUCUCAUUUUAACCAGACCCUUAUAGAAAGCUGCCUCUUAGGGGUCCUAUUUCUUAGAGUAGGGUUUCCCAACCAGGGUGCCUUCUGCUGUUGCUAAACUACAACUGCCAGUAUGCCUAGGCAUCUGAGAUGAGAGGGAAGCCUUGAUUUACCUUUCAGGGACAGUUAAUAAAGGAUUCCCUCAAAUUUAAGCAGCUUUUGACUGUCUUGGGCAUGCUGGGAGUUUGUUUUACAACAGCAGGAGGGAUUCAGUUUGGAGACCACUGCACUAGAGCAGUGUUUCCUAACAACCGUGCCCCCAGCUGUUGCAAUACUACAGCUGCCAGCAUGUCGGGACAGUCAAAAGCCUGUCUGCUUUCUCUAGAGCAGUGGUCCGCAGGUUGGAGACCAUUGCUCUAGAGCAUCCUCACUGUCCCAGAAAGGUAAAUCAUGGCUUUUGCCUCAUCUCAGCAGCCUGUGGCUGUCCAGGCAUGCUGGAAGUUGUAGUUUUGCAACAGCUGGAGGCACUCUUGAGUGGGAAACAUUGGCUUAGAGAAUUUAAAGGAACACUAAACCUAGUAAUAAGUGAGGGGGGCCGCCUUAUCAUGAGGAGGGGGACAUGGCGGUGCUCCGGGUACAUAUAUAGAAGAUUUCUUUAUUUAUUUAUUUCUUAUUUAGACAAAACAAAUCAUCAGAUAGAAGGCGGGAGGAGUCGGGGUGUUUACUUAUGUUCGUGCUCUAUCUGUUCCUUUAACCCUCUUAGGAUGUAACAUGGCCAUUCGUUUUUUCCUUCUUACAUCAUCACGGCUGCCAUUAUCGCAUUGUACGCUACUUUAUUUGCCAAGUCAUUGCAUUGAUUUUAAUUUUUUUUAUUUUUUUGCAAUUGCAGCAAAACCGCGCAAUAUUUAUAUCUGCAUUAAAACCUUAAAAUUGUACCUGU